rnacentral:tRNA from 1 species
UCCCUGAUAGUCCAGUGAUUAAGACUUCACCUUUCAAUGCAGAGGAUAUGGGUUCAAUCCCUGAUCAGGGAA